rnacentral:ncRNA from 1 species
AGGAGCCGGAUGAGGUAAAAGUCUCACGUCCGGUUUUGAAGACGAGUUAUUUUGGUGACAGAAUAGCUUAGUUUAAC